CAACAGUCUCCAAAGUCUUAACUCAUUUCAGCUUUAACUCAAAAGUCCAAAGUCACACCUGAGACAAGGCAAGUCCCUUCCACCUAUGAGCCUGUAAAAU